AACGCAUAUUGCGCCCUCUGGUAUUCCGGGGGGCAUGCCUGUCCGAGCGUCAUUACUACCUUCAAGCGCGGCUUGUUCGUUGAGCUUUGUCCGUCGAGAUUUUUUUGUGGACAGGCUUGAAAUGCAGUGGCGAAUGUCGGGUUUGGUGCCCGGGUGUAUGGAGCUUUGUCACACGCUCUGGUGGCCCAACUGGCAUUCUGUCCACCUUUAAAUUGAUUUUUAUAUCUGGAUUGACCUCGGAUCAGGUAGGAAAACCCGCUGAACUUAA
rnacentral:misc_RNA from 1 species